rnacentral:rRNA from 1 species
UCGGGAAUAUUGCGCAAUGGAGGAAACUCUGACGCAGUGACGCCGCGUGCAGGAAGAAGGUUUUCGGAUUGUAAACUGCUUUAGACAGGGAAGAAAAAGACAGUACCUGUAGAAUAAGCUCCGGCUAACUACGUGCCAGCAGCCGCGGUAAUACGUAGGGAGCAAGCGUUAUCCGGAUUUAUUGGGUGUAAAGGGUGCGUAGACGGGAGAACAAGUUAGUUGUGAAAUCCCUCGGCUUAACUGAGGAACUGCAACUAAAACUAUUUUUACUUGUAGUGCUGGAGAGGAAAGUGGAAUUCCUAGUGUAGCGGUGAAAUGCGUAGAUAUUAGGAGGAACACCAGUGGCGAAGGCGACUUUCUGGACAGUAACUGACGUUGAGGCACGAAAGUGUGGGGAGCAAACAGGAUUAAUACCC